CAGAAUAAUAUUACAGAGGGAAUAGUCGGAUACGAUGGCGACUGACUUGUCCUUGCACAGGCUCCUCAGUCAUUUCAAAGCAAGACAGCGCAAGACCAUUCUGCCGAUUGGCAAAUCCCUUCACAUACAGAUUGUUAGCCUGAAGAACAAGUCAGAGCCAACUGUCAGCAUUUCCUGCUAGCUGUAACUUCACAUGCAUCCAUCUCAGAGGAGCCUCCUCCUUCAUUUGCCUUUCCAACAACGGGUGUGGACCCAACAGCUUCAACGCAUCAUAAUCCUCAAUUCUUUCACUGUUUGCGUGAUCACCAACCAAGAUAUCUUCUGUAUCAUUGUGGUUUGCAAGCCACAAUUGCAUUUCUUGUGCCAUGU
rnacentral:lncRNA from 1 species